GUGAAUCAUCAAAUUUUUGAACGCACAUUGCGCUUCCUGGCAUCCCGGGGAGUAUGCCUGUUUGAGGGUCAGUAUUACCCACAAAUCGGGUUGGUUGCAAAUUGUGACGUUUCCGGCGUUUGGUCUAUCUUAACUUUUUUGGUUAAGGGGCUUAAAAUUGACCUUAUUUGCGCACUUUUAGACGUACAUCCAUUUUUUUUUUAUUCGUCUCUUCUUAGUGCCAAAAUCU
rnacentral:misc_RNA from 1 species